rnacentral:rRNA from 1 species
AUUGAACGCUGGCGGAAUGCUUAACACAUGCAAGUCGAACGAUAAACGGUAGCAUGUUACGGCGUUUCGUGGGGGAGGGGGGAGUAAGAUAUAGGACCGUGCCACGGAAUGGGGGAUAACGAGAAGAACGAGAAACUAAUACCGCAUACGCACAGCGGCGGAAAGCCGGGGAGCUUGGGCCUUUAGGUUAUAGGAGCGGCCGAUACCUGAUUAGCUAGUUGGUGGGGUAAUGGCCAACCAAGGCGACGAUCAGUAGCUGGUCUGAGAGGAUGACCAGCCACACUGGAACUGAGACACGGUCCAGACUCCUACGGGAGGCAGCAGUGGGGAAUAUUGCACAAUGGGCGCAAGCCUGAUGCAGCCAUGCCGCGUGUAUGAAGAAGGCCUUCGGGUUGUAAAGCUCUUUCGCAAGGGAGGAAGGCAGUCCAGCUAAUACCUGUUCAGAUUGACGUUACCUGGAUAAGAAGCACCGGCUAACUACGUG